ACACAAUCAGCAAGCAACGAAGGUGCUGCGGAACGAACUAAAGCCAUAAAUUUGUGGGGGCUUUCAUUAUGAUUUAUGUGACUUCGGUGCUCAAGACAAAUGGCUAAGUAAUUGAAUUACGAGCCGCAGCCAGCAAAAGGAUGAUAAUUCUGCUGAGUAAGCCCGAGCACUUAUGCAAAUUAGCUGCUGAUAAGGAGACGCGAUGGAAAAACAACAUUGAUUGCAAAAUCAAUGUGCAGUGCAGGGUCUGUGGGCCAGGGUGAAAGCCUGGAAGUUGGCCAAAAGUCAGACGACCCCGGCUAACGAGAAUGACACCAGGACACCAGGAUUCAAAAGUGCAAGCUCAGGGUUCGCCAGCGGGCAGUCUGCGCUGCGCUUCUGCGGCGGAAGUGGCGGAAACGGAAAUGGAAAGAAUGGAGUCAUGAGCAUUAUUUGUGCGGAAUUACCUUUAACGAGGUGACUAGCUAGCGGUCCUGUUGCAUUACCAUUACCGCAAUAAACUGCAACCCAACCACCGAUCCCACCCAGCAUCUUGGGCCUCUGCUUUCGAGAACGCCAAGUUGCCGGCAAAAUUGCACUUGACUCGAAUGCCAAUUACAUGGGUCUGCAGAUGUCAGCGGAAGAGGAGAAAUCGGAAUGGCAGAAUGACUGGAUGGCUGACUCCUUGGGAUAUCUGGGUGGGAUGGCUGGAAUGGCUGGCAGGACGAUAAGAAAAGAGUGACACAGCAGAUGGCCUGGGACUGCGAGCGAAUGGAAUUGCCACAAAGUGGAUUAAAUAUGAAUAAAAGAUAUUUGAGUAAAUUGCAUUACAGAGUUAGGCUGUAUUAACUCACUGCAUUAACCCGCCAAAGUCGUCGCCCAGAUGGAAUUGUGUUGACAUUUUUGAUUUCUGCCCAGUCAAGCUGUGCCGCCAAAGCUGCGGCUUAAUUCCAGAU
ensembl:ncRNA lncRNA:CR45562 long non-coding RNA:CR45562